UUCAGUCAACCUAGUUGACCUUCUGGAGCUGAAUUCUUUCUGCAAAGUACCCUCCUUUUUCAUGGUGGUUGAAGGUGUAGUAGCCACCUUUCUCCGGCUGCUUCUUACAGUUGCUAUACCAGGUGUGCACCACUCCAUCUUCUCACCUUCUUUCCGGCGAGAUGAAGUCGCCGGAGUUUUCCUCCUGGUGGUCGGAUGUGCCGGGGUUGGGUGGCUGAUAAGAUCAAACAAAGUUGUUGGAGUUGGAGAGAGUUGGUUUUUCUCUUCAAUUGAAGAACAUCCUUCAAAAUCCACAGUUUCACAUGGUUUUGAUUUCUCAACAAAUUCCACGUCAGCAUUAUCUUCUACAAAGCUCUCCGAGUGUUCUUCUGGAAUAAGAUCAUCUUUCUCCUCUUCAAAAU
rnacentral:lncRNA from 1 species